GUGUUAAGAGAUUCUUUCAUAGGUGAAAACUCUCGUACCUGCAUGUUGCCACAAUCUCUCCAGGAAUGGCAUCCUGUGAAAAUACUCUUAAUACAUUAAGAUAUGCAAAUAGGUAAAGGAGUUUGGAAUUAGUCCAUCAGACAUUCCCUUCUCACAGGGUAGUGGCAGUCGCCCUGAUCUCUCUCCUUCUUAUGAAUAUGACGACUUUUCUCCUUCAGUUACCAGGUCAAAGAAUUGACUGUAGAUCCAACUGCUGCUGGUGAUGUUCGUCCAAUAAUGCACCAUCCACCAAACCAGAUUGAUGACUU
rnacentral:lncRNA from 1 species